UGGCCUACGGGAGGCAGCAGUGGGGAAUAUUGCGCAAUGGGGGCAACCCUGACGCAGCAACGCCGCGUGAUUGAAGAAGGCCUUCGGGUUGUAAAGAUCUUUAAUCGGGGACGAAUUUUGACGGUACCCGAAGAAAAAGCAUCGGCUAACUCCGUGCCAGCAGCCGCGGUAAUACGGAGGAUGCGAGCGUUAUCCGGAUUUAUUGGGUUUAAAGGGUGCGUAGGCGGACUGUUAAGUCAGCGGUAAAAGCCCGGGGCUCAACCCCGGCGAGCCGUUGAAACUGGCUGUCUUGAGAUGUCGAGAGG
rnacentral:rRNA from 1 species